rnacentral:rRNA from 1 species
AUUGAACGCUGGCGGCAGGCCUAACACAUGCAAGUCGAGCGAGCGGCGGACGGGUGAGUAAUGUAUGGGGACCUGCCCGAUAGAGGGGGAUAACUACUGGAAACGGUGGCUAAUACCGCAUACUAUUGGAUCGGCCCAUAUGGGAUUAGCUAGUGGGUGGGGUAAAGGCUCACCUAGGCGACGAUCCCUAGCUGGUCUGAGAGGAUGAUCAGCCACACUGGGACUGAGACACGGCCCAGACUCCUACGGGAGGCAGCAGUGGGGAAUCUUGCACAAUGGGCGCAAGCCUGAUACAGCCAUGCCGCGUGUAUGAAGAAGGCCUUCGGGUUGUAAAGUACUUUCAGCGGGGAAGCGUUACCCGCAGAAGAAGCACCGGCUAACUCCGUGCCAGCAGCCGCGGUAAUAC